UAUCUAUUUCAAUUUUGAUCAGCUGAUUGAUAUCUCCUGAUUGCUUGUAUUUGUGUAAAGGCCGAUGCUUUAUAAAUAUCAAAAACUAUAUUAUUAAUGAUAUUUUUUUUCUACAAAGUAAUUUAUAUUAUUUAAUUUUGUAUAAUUUUCUACAAUUAUCUUAAUAAUAAAAAUAAGAUGGAAAUAGAAGAAUCAAUAAAAGAAAAUGCUGUAGAGGUUAUUAGGGAAGGAUUGAGAGAAUUGAUUCAUACAGAAAGAAAGGAAAAUCGUAUGAAAACAAUAAAUAAAAGUCGUGUGGCUUUAGGAAAUAUUAUAACGAAUUCAUCUUUUACAACAGAGUUUGUAAUUGAAAAAGCAAAAGCUCUUAAAAAAAAAGCAUUAUCUAUUGAAGAAUAUAAAGAGCUUCAAAAUGCUCUUAUUCAGAGUGAAGAAAAUGUUAAUUCGUUUUUAAAAGUGGAUAACAUCUUAUUUGCAUUGGUACGUGAUUUCUCUGGUAAUGACCCUGUUUUACAAUUAUGUGCUAUUAGUUGUUCUUGUAAUAUAGCACUUGGAAAUGCUAAAGCAUGUACUUCAUUAACCAAAAGUAUUGGACCAUAUCUUAUUACAAAAUUAGAUACUUUAAAUUAUUCUUUAUUGGAAAUAUGCAUAUGGACAAUAGGAAAUUUAAUUUCAGGAAGUAAUAAGGCAUUUGAAAUUCUUCAUGCCCAAGAUUGUUUGAAAUAUAUUAUAUCCUUGAUGUACAAUUGUGAUAAUGUAAUUGUGCCUUCAGUAGCCUAUACUGCUAUGCAUUAUAUACAUAUUGGUUUUCAAUACAUCUUAAAAGAAGAAAUUAUUGAACUUACCAAUGCUACUAUAAAGAGAAACUUUUUAUUUGAAGAUUCAUAUUUUAUUUGGUUGCUUGCAUUAUUAUCUUCAGAAAUAUCGUGUCACAUAUAUUUAUAUUCUGCAAUCCCUUUGAUAGUUGAUUAUUUAUAUGAAAAUAGCAUAAAUAAUAUCACAUCAAUAGUAGAGAUCACAGCAUGUAUAAGAAUAUUAGCUAAUAUUGUACAAGAAACAUCUGGACGAUUGGCAAAGUUUCUAUUGAAAAAUUCAAAAUAUUCACUAUCAAAUUUAAAAACAUUAUUAAAUAAAUUACUUUUAUGUCAGUAUGUACAUAUUAGAAAAGAAACAUUAUGGUUAAUAGGUAAUCUUUAUAAUCACAAUUCUAUUGAUAUAAAAAAGAUGAUACAAGAAGUUAUUUCUGAAUCAUUUUUGAAGCAAACAGUUUUAUAUACAAUUCAACAGUAUCAAUAAAUACAAACUCUAUUAAUUAAAUGAUUACGUGAAUAAAUUGUCGUCGUAAUCCUAUGGAAGUAUGUGUCUCUGGUACAUCCUCAAUACAAGGUAUUUUUAUUAUAUUAAAGUAUAUGCGACCCAUAAUAUGUGCUGUCGGAUGUGUCGUGGCUUUCAAACAACGAUACAGCGCUUCAUCACAUACACAGUGUGACCUAGAAAGGACAAAGAUCAUGACUGCGACAACAUCUGAAAAAGUUAAAUAUAUUGAAAACCGUACUUUAAUUAAACAUAAUUUUCUAUUUUCUUUAAUUUUAAAUUUAUUUUAACAUAUAUUGACCUAUCAAUUUGAGCUUCUUGGCCCAAAUCAUGGUAAUUAUCGGCUAUGUCCCCGGCACCACACCAUUUUGUACCUAUGAAAUCAUCAAAAUUUAUCUCAAAAUAUAGAUGAAUUAUAAAUAUAACAAGAAAGUCUGCAAUAAUCACGAACCUGGUAAGAUACCUGAGAGAAGAGACAAGACAUUACUCAUUCCAUAAUUAUCUUUAUUUACACUGUUUGAUGUCGUUGUAGACAAUCUUUCGUGCUGCAUCUUGUCCAAUAAUUCGCAUUGUUGUAUAAGUUUCGUCAUUUGUGAGAAAGAUACCAGCUGAGGAAUUACUAUGGAUGACAGAUUCCUCAAAACUUCAUUGGCUUCAUCUUGCUCGCUAUAUAUACCGAUUGCAUUUUUUUUAUUUGUGCCUAAAUAUUGAUUUCAAUCUAAUCCUAAUAAAGCACUUACUAUACUUCGAUCAAGUUGCAAUUAUGCAAUUCAUUAUUAAUGCCAAGAUCAACUACUGCCACAGUCUGAUCAUAGUAAUAAACAGCUCUGAUCUCAUUUCUAUCGAAUGUAUCGGCCCUUGAAAUACCAUUUAAUCCUUUGAAAGUAUUUUUGAAGAAGAUCGGUUGCUGAAUACUGUUAGAGAUGAUCGCCACGAUCAAGAAUAAUAUCCAUCCUGUGGAGCUCAUGAUCAUUUUUUAAAUCGUACUGCACUAUGUAUAUUAUCCUGUUUAUAUGAUCAUAUUAAUCACAUUCUCGGGCUUAUCAUGCUGAAAAUCGUUAGAUCACUCAUACAUUAAAGAAACAGAAAUUAAAUUAAUGCAAGUGAAACAUGCGUUGCAUUGCCGAUUUGAUCAGUGCCUUUGUUACGAAUGGAAUUCAAUUCUUGGAAUCGUUUUGAACUCUGAAUAAGAAAUAAAUUUCUCUAAUUUUAA